UUUUUUUUUAACACAGCAAGAUAUAAACAGAUUUGGGGGAAGACUUCUGUUUCUGAAAAUACAGUGGACCAGAUACUCUAGAGAGCCCUUUCAAUACACACCUGUUUAGAGUUUAUUUUUAAUCUCUAAAUAGAUGGCUGAGCUAGCAAGAAAUUCUCAGGCAGUUCCUGAGAGGCAGAAACAUCCAAAAACCACAAAUCUAGACCUUCAGGACCGAUAGGGCAUCCAGCUGAACCAAGGGCAUUUGUCACUCCCCUGGAGCCUAAUGAUUUCUGAGCUCUGACCACAAGGUGGGAGCUUUGAUCAAGACCUACAAAGAAAGGUACCCCCUACCCUCCAAGGGGUGAACUUGCCAAAAGCCCUGCCUCCAGGAAAGAGGACACCUGCCUGCCUGGGUGCUGGCUCAGGUUUGUGGGGCAGAUCUUAAGGAGAAUCCCAUCUAUAAACUAUUUGUCCAAGUAAGGUGGGAACGACUCACACUACCUAUGUGGCUUGGAGAAAAGCCAGCUGAGAAUUUAAAGCAAUUCCCAUUGACGGUGGCCAAAGACACCUGACAGAAAGAAGCCAGCACAAUUUAAGGAAGAACACCUCUUUCCCCCAGGCCUCCGUUCUCUCAGAUACAGAUCUAAGAAUCCGGGGUUCAUGAUCCAGUAUGUGAGGAAACAGCCGCCAUGAUGAGAAGCAGUAGAAACUAGAGUCGCACUUGGGGACUUGGAAUUCGCAGACACACGAUACGUUUUUCCAAAAAGAAGAGGAGGAGGAGGAGGAAGAAAUGCAAAUCACAGCAUUCCAAUCUGCAUUGGGAACUCCAGGUCAGCCCUUCAGUAUUGAGAAGAACCACCGUCACAAGUUUGCCAAGGUGGUGGGAACAGUUCAAACUGGACCAGGUGUGAAGUCUACCUUUUUUCUAAGAGACUUGAGUCUGGAUUCUGCCUCAGUCACAUCACUGCAUGACCUUAAACAAGUUUGUCCAUCCUUUUUUGCUUUCUUUCAAAUAUAUGCAAGAAUCAAUCAUCGAGUAAAACAAUGGUUGCCAGGUCCCCAGGGUACAGGGGACUGAGGAGUGACCACCGAUGGGUAUGGGUUUUUUUUCUAGGGCAAUGAAAUAUUCUCAAAUUAGAGAAUGGUGAUGAUUGCACAACCUGAAUAUACUAAAAGACGCUGAAUUGUACUCUUUAGAAGGAUGAAUUUUGUGGUAUGUGAAUUAUAUCUUAAUAAAGCUUUAAUUUUU